rnacentral:rRNA from 1 species
AUGCACGCUGGCGGCGUGCCUAAUCCCUGCCAGUCGAGCGAACAGAUGAGGAGCUUGCUCCUCUGACGUUAGCGGCGGACGGGUGAGUAACACGUGGAUAACCUACCUAUAAGACUGGGAUAACUUCGGGAAACCGGAGCUAAUACCGGAUAAUAUAUUGAACCGCAUGGUUCAAUAGUGAAAGACGGUUUUGCUGUCACUUAUAGAUGGAUCCGCGCCGCAUUAGCUAGUUGGUAAGGUAACGGCUUACCAAGGCAACGAUGCGUAGCCGACCUGAGAGGGUGAUCGGCCACACGGGAACUGAGACACGGUCCAGACUCCUACGGGAGGCAGCAGUAGGGAAUCUUCCGCAAUGGGCGAAAGCCUGACGGGGCAACGCCGCGUGAGUGAUGAAGGUCUUCGGAUCGUAAAACUCUGUUAUUAGGGAAGAACAAAUGUGUAAGUAACUAUGCACGUCUUGACGGUACCUAAUCAGAAAGCCACGGCUAACUACGUG